AGUGAACGCUGGCGAUAGGCCUAACACAUGCCAGUCGAACGGCAGCACAGUAAGAGCUUGCUCUUACGGGUGGCGAGUGGCGGACGGGUGAGGAAUACAUCGGAAUCUACUUUUUCGUGGGGGAUAACGUAGGGAAACUUACGCUAAUACCGCAUACGACCUACGGGUGAAAGCAGGGGAUCUUCGGACCUUGCGCGAUUGAAUGAGCCGAUGUCGGAUUAGCUAGUUGGCGGGGUAAAGGCCCACCAAGGCGACGAUCCGUAGCUGGUCUGAGAGGAUGAUCAGCCACACUGGAACUGAGACACGGUCCAGACUCCUACGGGAGGCAGCAGUGGGGAAUAUUGGACAAUGGGCGCAAGCCUGAUCCAGCCAUACCGCGUGGGUGAAGAAGGCCUUCGGGUUGUAAAGCCCUUUUGUUGGAAAAGAAAAGCAGCAGGUUAAUACCCCGCUGUUCUGACGGUACCCAAAGAAUAAGCACCGGCUAACUUCGUG
rnacentral:rRNA from 1 species